rnacentral:tRNA from 1 species
GCAUUAAUGGGGUAGUGGUAACCUGGGUCGUUGCCAUCGAACCCGCCGGGGGUUCGAUUCCCCCUAAAUGCA